rnacentral:rRNA from 1 species
UACGUAGGGUCCAAGCGUUAUCCGGAUUCACUGGGUUUAAAGGGUGCGUAGGCGGUUCGGUAAGUCGGCGAUGAAAUGUCAGGGCUCAACCUUGGCGCUGUCGCCGAUACUGUCGGACUAGAGAGGGCAUGAGGUCUCCGGUAUGAGUGGUGUAGCGGUGAAAUGCGUAGAGAUCACUCAGAACACCGAUUGCGAAGGCAGGAGACUGGGGCCUUUCUGACGCUGAGGCACGAAAGCGUGGGGAUCAAACAGG